UAAUAGCGUAUACUUAAGUUGUUGCAGUUAAAAAGCUCGUAGUCGGAUGUCGGGCUUGGGCAGGCUGUCGGCUUUUGUCGGACGGCAGGCUCGGGCCUUUCUGCCUGGGGACCGCGUCACACUUCACUGUGGGGCGUCGGGACGCAGGCCGUUUACUUUGAAAAAAUUAGAGUGCUCAAAGCAGGCCUACGCUUGAAUACAUUAGCAUGGAAUAAUAGAAUAGGACUCGGUUCUAUUUUGUUGGUUUGUUGGGACUGAGUAAUGAUUAAGAGGGACAGUUGGGGGCAUUUGUAUUUCGGCGCUAGAGGUGAAAUUCUUAGAUUGCCGAAAGACAAACUGCUGCGAAAGCGUCUGCCAAGGAUGUUUUCAUUGA
rnacentral:rRNA from 1 species